UUUUUUUUUUUUUGUCUUUUUUGUCUUUUUCAGAGCUGCACCUGCAGCAUGUGGAGGUUCCCAGGCUAGGGGUCUAAUCGGAGCUACAGCUGCUGGCCUACGUCACAGCCACAGCACCACCAGAUCCAAGCUGCAUCUGCAACCUAUACAUAGCUCACGGCAACGCCAGAUCCUUAACCCACUAAGCAAGGCCAGGGAUCGAACCUGCAACCUCAUGGUUCCUAGUCAGAUUCGUUUCCACUGUGCCACCCCAGGCACUUUGCAUUAUUUUUUUAAUUAUGUGAAUUUCAUGUGUAACCCAAAACAACUUGGGGCCCGGGUUACAACAAAAUUAAAACUUAAAUGGAAUUCUACUGUUGACCUAAUUUCUCAGAAAAUAUUUAUCAGUAUAUUUGCCAUAAUUUGGGGGUAUUUCUGGACACAAGGAGGCACUGCAUCUCUCCACCCAUUUUGAAGUUAGAUAUGGCCAUGUGGAUUGUUUUGACCGAAGAAAUGUCAGCUGGAGUGGCCUGUGUCCAUUUGGGUGGACACUUUAAGAACUAGUCCAUAAUUUGUCACUUGCCCUUUCCUUCUGCCACAGCAACUGGCAAUGCAACAGAUGGUGGCCACUCCAUCACAGGGAUUUCAGAGUGAAGACAGCACCUGUCAAUCUAGAGCAGAACUUGACUGCAGUGGAGCCUGACUGAGAAAUAUGCUUUGUAUUCAGCUCUCCUGUCAACACCCAAUUAAAACUAUGCCUUUGAAGUAAAACCUUUAUGCCCCUGAUUCUUCUCCCUGUUCCUGCUCCAGCCCUAGAUGUCAGAAGUGUCAAACGGAGUAAUGUAAAAAGACAAGGGUGGAAAUCGUGACAAAAUGGGCCACAUUCUUUUCUCCCCUGCAAGCUUAAGAGUCAGGUAAUUUAUAGGCUGCUUGAGUGAAUGAAACUUUUACAUUCAACUCUCCUAGAGUUUUAAAAUUUUAUCUUAAAUGUUUAAGUUAUUUAAUAUUUAAAUGAGAAACAUACCCCCAUGAUUCAAAGUUCAAAUAGUGUAAAGUACACAAUGAAAAGUCUCUCUCCAACCAUUGAUCCUAUUAGUCCAGUCCUAACCCUCAAUUCCUCAGAGGUUUUAUUAUAUUUUUAUACUCACGUAUGCUUGCAGAGACUUUUUACAUUUUUAUUUUAGACGCAGCUUACUAUAUGCACUGCCAUAUUAACUACCUUUUUAUAAAAAAGCUAUUUGUAAGUAUGUGAUAGCAAUCUCGACCAUUGUAAUUCGUCAGGGAAAGGGGAAAAAAAAACAGUAGAAUUUGAUUAAAAGUUUGUGACAGGAGUUCCUGCCAUGGCACAGAGGAUUAAGGAUUCAGCAUUGCUACAGCUGUGGCAUAGAUCACAGCUUCAGUUUGGAUUCGAUCCCUGGCCCAGGCACUUCCAUAUAUCACAGGUGCACCCAAGAAAAGAAAGUUUGUGAAUUAAGAAAUAAAGUUACUUUCUUUUCUGUUCGUUUGCAUUCAAUAAGUUGUCCAUGUGACUCUCUAGGUUUCAAAAGGAAAGAAAGGAGGGACAAAAGCUGAUAUUCUGGAAAAUUUGUUCUGUGAAGUAUGUUUCGUGUAAAUUCAUGCAGCAGAAAGAGUGUCUGCUAACCCUUCAGAUAAGACAGCAAUGAAGAGAUGAGUUGAGGUUGAAUUGUGUGAAUCUGGACAGCGGCACCUUGCAAGGGAUCCCAGGGAAAGGAAAACCUAUGGGCAGUAGAUGGAAGAAACAAAAGAAACACCUUGUCUUAUUAACUAAUUUGAUCUUCAUAGUAAGCUCUAAGGUGGGCCUCAUUUUAUCAUGGUCCAGAUAAGGGUCAAUUCAGAUGCCAAGAUUUUACAGCAGACAGCUGGUCUGUGGAAGGAUCCCACACUCCCUCCUUCUGUUCAGCCAUGCCCAGGAUUAUGGAAGAGAGGUGAUUGAGUAGAAGAGGACAUUGAAUCUGCCUAAGGUUUAAGGAUUUUCUAUGACUUCGGGAAAAGAAAUGGGAAAAUAUGAGAAACAAAAAUAAAAUAAAAUUAAAUGAAUUUUGAAAAUGGAUUUUCUCUAAGAAUUAUCAGCAAAAUGACAAAAAUAUUAUCUGGAAUUGCAGUUUCGUACAACUACUCUACAAGCAAAUAUUCUGAGAAUUCUCCAAAGAUGCACACAAAACAAAAUAUAUCCUUCAAGGUUUGGAGACUAGCACUUGGAAUAUUACUUAGAACCAACAAUGGAGUUAUUAACCAAAACUUUGGAAAUGGUCUCAUCUAUGAGAAUGCAAGUGUUCAAAGAAUAACAAGAACUUGAAACAAUGUUCAAUAGAUAAAUGCACUUAAUUAAAAAAAUUACACUUAAAUGAAAAUCAGUGUGCUAGAAAAUAAAUAAGCAUUUUAUUUCUUCCAAACAAGUAUAUAUGUGUGUGUGCAUAUAUAUAUAUAUAUAUAUAAAACAAUAAAAGAUUUUCAAACUGUAAAGAUGUCCAACCUCCUUGUCAAGCAAAAGAUGUUAGAAAAUUAAUUUUCAGAAAAAUGUAUAGCUAUUAAUAUCACCUCUAUCCUUUACUGUGAUAGUGGUGACAAGAAUAAGAAAAGAUUUAAAUGUCAAAGUAGUUCAUGUUAGGUAUUUUUCCUUUCUAGAAUGCCUUAAGAAUAUAUAUUUUUAAUAGCUAUUCUAUCUUUAGAGCCACCCAUGGAACACUCCAUUACUUCUAAAUUGUAUUUCUUUUUAUCAGUCAUUCUUUAUUUAUUUAUUUUGGAAUUGUAUCCCUCAUGCCUCAGCAGAAAGUACUACCUUAAGAGAAAUCAAAAUACAGGCCUCAUAGAAGCAAGAGAAACCCAAAGUAUGUAUGUAAAUUUUUUACCCAAAAUGGUAGUGUAUGAUAUCCACUGCUGCAUUUUUAAAUAUCUUUUAAAAAGUCAACUAUUUGUAGAUACAUGUCAACAACUUAAGAUUGUGCACUGCCCUGCAAAAGCCACUCAUUUAGGGGAAACUCAGCUCCACAGUAGAACUAGGCAGCAGACCGGUACCAUGGCAUGGGUGUAUUUCAUACGCCCAUGGCAUGGAAUUCAUCACAGAUUGACAUUUUCCUUGACCCAGUCUGAAAUCUAGUAGGGCCCGGGUGGUUGUCCAGUGGCUCAGGGUGAAUUGUGCAAAAAGCCUUCUCCACAGAGCAGCCUUAGGAGGGGGGACAGCACUCAAAAGCCCUCAUGGGGGAUACUAAGAAAGUGACGUGGAUGACACACAUUUCUUCCAACACAGAGGGCACUUCGCAUCUUCAAGGAGCACAGACUUGAGUGCCCCAGGCUGGGGACUGUCCUCAAGUCUCCCAGGCUGGCUGCCUGCCAGCCACCGAGUUUCUAUGCAAAUAAGUGAAGACUUGAAUUUGGCAUUGGGAACUGUACCAAGUGAUUUGGUUUAGCAGAGGUCAGUCUUUGCUGUGGAAAAAGCAUUCUCUUUCCCAGGCAGGGAAUGGAACGAGGCCUCUCUCUGGUUGGCCCAUGUGACCACAGAGCAUUUUUCCAUGGCAGCUGGCAGUGUGAGGAAGGGGAUCAGUCCCAGGGGACCCAGUGGGUUGGCUGGACAUGAACUGUUAGGUUAUGGUGGAAAUCUUUUAUUUUUUGUAAUUGAGAUAUAAUUUACAACUUCAGGUGUACAACAAAGUGAUUCAGUUACUUCAGUUACAUUCUUUUCCAGAUAUAUUCCUGGAAAUCUUAAAAAGAGACAAAUAUUCUAAGUUUCUAGGUGAGGAGCUGGUCCCCGAACGAAGGGCAAGAAACAAGAGAAGAAUCCCUUCUCUACUAUUCUUUCAAGUGACAUGAGGAAACAAUGGCACAUUUAAUGCACAUUUACUAGAACUAAAGCAAAUAUGAAUGCAAAAACAAAUAGCAAUACCAAAUAGCCAAGAUUUGGGGAGCGCUUUUGAUACUUCAGGUGUUGGUCUAAACAAUUUCAAGCACGAUCUCAUUUAAGCCUCCGAUCAUCCUACCAGCCAGUUAGGGCCAUGAAUUCCAUGUUAUAGAGUCUUAGGGGGGGUUAAGCCACUUCCCCAAGGCCAUAACCUUGCCCAAGGGAAAGACGUGAAUUCAGGCAAGAAAACAUCUGUGCAUGGGCUUUUAAUCACUAAUAAGAGAUGAAUAAUAAAAAAUGAGGAACAAAGAUUUGGUAAAAGUUUACUUUCCUAAAUUGCGGGAGAAAACAAUCCUUUAGACUCUGAACUUUUUGUGCACCUAAGAGCUUCAGUGAUCCAUCAUUCUGUGAGUCCCGCCAUCCAUCACUGCUUGGGCCACCAGGGAUCAUGAGAAGCUCUAGAUGCCAGUAAAAGUCUUAGCAUUUUAGCAGGACCGGUUUCUCGGUUUCUCGUGUAUCUUAAAUAUCUUUAAAUCCUAAAGCUUAGAAUAGCAUAUAGAACCUAUCACUAAACAUUUGUUAUAUUGGCUGUAACAGAUCUGGAUUCACAAGAGACCAAUUUGUAUGGUAAGAAAGAGAAUUUAAAGGUCUCUAAAAUGGUCUGUGUACUUGCUUAGACCUCGUUUCUUUUUCUCUAGUUUCUUUAUACCUCAUGGAUUGCUUUUCUAGAUGUUUCAAAUCAAAGUGACCUUUUCCUAAAUGAAUAUGCUGCUAAAAACAAAACAAAACAAAACAAAAAACACCUCACUGGAAUACUGGAUCCAGCUCAACUGUCAUGUAAUCUUUUCUGAAUUCCUUUAGUAAAUUUCUUACGUUAUGAUUUUUACUAAAAAUAUCAGCAGCUUGUUUUUAAAAAGUAGAAAAACUGAGUUGUUCAUCUAAUAUCCAACAGACCGUAAGCUCAAGGGGAGCAGGGACAUUUUUCUACCUCACUUAUCAAUGUGUCUGUCCUCAGUACCUAAAACAAUACUUAGCACAUGUAAGCAGCAAAUUUCCAUAUCCAUUCCCUUAUUACGAACCCAGGAGAGUUGAGUGUAACCUUUGAAAUACUUUAAUAUAGGAGUUCCCGUCAUGGCUCAGAGGUUAAUGAACCUGACUAGCAUCCAUGAGGAUGAAGGUUUGAUCCCUGGCCUCGCCCAGUGGGUUAAGGAUACAGCGUUGCUGUGAUCUGUUGUGUAGGUCACAGACGUGGCUCAGAUCCUGGCUUGCCGUGGCUGUGGUGUAGGCUGGCAGCUAUAGCUCUGAUUCAAUCCCUAGCCUGGGAACCUCCAUAUGAUGCGAGUGCAGCGAAAGACAGACAGACAGAGAGACUUUAAUACAAUAGACAUACCAAGAAUACAAGAUUGAAAGAGAGAUGUCAGCAAACAUACCAAGAAUAUAAGAUUAUAUGGAUUCACUAUUAUAUUUGAUUAAGCACUUAAUGGUAUCUGAGAAAAGGAAUAUAGCCAAAAAUUUAUUUUGAAUAGACCACAGACUUAUACAUAAAAGAUAAAAUGGUACAGUUUCUAGAAGAAAACAUAAGAAGAUUAUCUGUAACUUAUUGGUAGGCAAAGGUUUUUUGAGCAGGGCACAGAAAAGCAGUAACUAUUAAAGAAAAACAUGGGUAAAUUGGACUUCAUCAUAAUUAAAAACUGCUCAAGGAAAUAAAUAACACAGCCAUAGAAUGGGAGAAAAUAUUCACCAAACAUAUAUCUGACACUGAACUUGUAUCCAGAAUACAGAAAGA
rnacentral:lncRNA from 1 species